UACGUAGGGUGCGAGCGUUAAUCGGAAUUACUGGGCGUAAAGCGUGCGCAGGCGGUUCUCCAAGUCCGUUGUGAAAGCCCCGGGCUCAACCUGGGAAUGGCAGUGGAAACUAGGGGACUGGAAUCUGGCAGAGGGGGGUGGAAUGCCGCGUGUAGCAGUGAAAUGCGUAGAGAUGCGGCGGAACACCGAUGGCGAAGGCAGCCCCCUGGGAUAACACUGACGCUCAUGCACGAAAGCGUGGGGAGCAAACAGG
rnacentral:rRNA from 1 species